UACGAAGGGUGCAAACGUUGCUCGGAAUUAUUGGGCGUAAAGCGCACGUAGGCGGCUUAGCAAGUUGGAUGUGAAAUCCCUCGGCUCAACCAAGGAAGUGCAUCCAAAACUGCUGAGCUUGAGUACUUAAGAGGAUCGCGGAAUUCCCGGUGUAGAGGUGAAAUUCGUAGAUAUCAGGAGGAACACCGAUGGCGAAGGCAGGUCUCUGGGCCGAUACUGACGCUGAGGAGCGAAAGCAUGGGGAGCGAACAGG
rnacentral:rRNA from 1 species